UACGAAGGGGGCUAGCGUUGUUCGGAAUUACUGGGCGUAAAGCGUAUGUAGGCGGAUCGUUAAGUCGGGGGUGAAAUCCCGAGGCUCAACCUCGGAACUGCCUUCGAUACUGGCGAUCCUCGAGUCCGGGAGAGGUGAGUGGAACUCCGAGUGUAGAGGUGAAAUUCGUAGAUAUUCGGAAGAACACCAGUGACGAAGGCGGCUCACUGGCCCGGUACUGACGCUGAAAUACGAAAGCGUGGGGAGCAAACAGG
rnacentral:rRNA from 1 species